rnacentral:rRNA from 1 species
AACGAACGCUGGCGGCAUGCCUAACACAUGCAAGUCGAACGAGACCUUCGGGUUUAGUGGCGCACGGGUGCGUAACGCGUGGGAACCUGCCCUUAGGUUCGGAAUAACUCCCCGAAAGGGGUGCUAAUACCGGAUAAUGUCUUCGGACCAAAGAUUUAUCGCCUUUGGAUGGGCCCGCGUUGGAUUAGCUAGUUGGUAGGGUAAAAGCCUACCAAGGCGACGAUCCAUAGCUGGUCUGAGAGGAUGAUCAGCCACACUGGGACUGAGACACGGCCCAGACUCCUACGCAAGGCAGCAGUGGGGAAUAUUGGACAAUGGGCGAAAGCCUGAUCCAGCAAUGCCGCGAGAGUGAUGAAGGCCUUAGGGUUGUAAAGCUCUUUUACCCGGGAUGAUAAUGACAGUACCGGGAGAAUAAGCACCGGCUAACUCCGUG